AACGAACGCUGGCGGCAUGCCUAACACAUGCAAGUCGAACGAGACCUUCGGGUCUAUUGGCGCACGGGUGCGUAACGCGUGGGAACCUGCCCUUAGGUUCGGAAUAACUCCCCGAAAGGGGUGCUAAUACCGGAUAAUGUCUUCUGACCAAAGAUUUAUCGCCUUUGGAUGGGCCCGCGUUGGAUUAGCUAGUUGGUAGGGUAAAAGCCUACCAAGGCGACGAUCCAUAGCUGGUCUGAGAGGAUGAUCAGCCACCCUGGGACUGAGACACGGCCCAGACCCCUCGGGGGGGGCGAAGGGGGGAAUGUGGAACGAGGGGUGAAGGCCGAAGCCCGUAAUACCGUGUAAGUCUGGAAGGAUUGAGGGUUAAAAAGCUAUUUUACCAGGGAUGUUAAGACGAGACCCGGGCAAAAAGACACCGCUAAACUCGGG
rnacentral:rRNA from 1 species